rnacentral:rRNA from 1 species
UACGGUGGGGGCAAGCGUUGUUCGGAAUUACUGGGCGUAAAGGGCUCGUAGGCGGCCAACUAAGUCGGAUGUGAAAUCCCCAGGCUUAACCUGGGAACUGCAUCCGAUACUGGAUGGCUUGAAUCCGGGAGAGGGAUGCAGAAUUCCAGGUGUAGCGGUGAAAUGCGUAGAUAUCUGGAGGAAUACCGGUGGCGAAGGCGGCAUCCUGGACCGGCAUUGACGCUGAGGAGCGAAAGCUAGGGGAGCAAACGGG